ACUACCACCUUGAUUACAUAACAGCUUUAACACACAUCACAUGGACUUCUGAAGCAGUAUUUGAACUGGAUGGGAUCACAGAGAUGACUUAGCCCCUUAUUUUAAAUGUCAGGAAAUCAUCUGAGAGAGGGAUCAUCAAGACUGUAUGGACAUGCUGGCUGAAUUGACAUGGUGAUUUCACCAGUAUCCUGUAAAGAACCAUCAAGGAUGCUUUUUAUCACUCCAACCACUGGUUUAACAUCACUGAGGGAACAUGACCUGAUGUUAAGGGUGAAGACAAGUUACCAUCCACCCCAGUCGGGAAUAUGUCCCACACUCCCUUUGAAGGCCUGGGCCAAGCGACCAAGCUUUGCACAAGAAACCUGAGAAUUGUCAGAAAACGCAGGCUCUGAAUUGACUCAAGGGUCCUCACGCAUGGAGGGAUCCACUUAUCCAUGGAGAUGGCAACAAGGCAGGACACUUAGCACAUCAGGGUAUUGCUCUUGUCUUUACUUUCCAUUCAGCUUCCCCACAACCACUCCAAAGAACAGAGCUUUGGGUAUUGCUUCAAUAAAAACGUGUAACAGCAGUUUAAGAACCA